rnacentral:rRNA from 1 species
CCGCCGGCGACCGGCGCACGGGUGAGUAACACGUAUGCAACCUGGCCGUGACAGAUGGAUAACCGGGAGAAAUCCCGCCUAAUACAACAUAAUGCCGGGAGGGGACAUCCCCUGCCGGUCAAAGGGGGCGACCCCGGUCAUGGAUGGGCAUGCGGCGCAUUAGGUAGUUGGUGGGGCAACGGCCCACCAAGCCGACGAUGCGUAGGGGUUCUGAGAGGAAGGUCCCCCACAUUGGAACUGAGACACGGUCCAAACUCCUACGGAAGGCAGCAG